AGGAGGGCCACAUGUUACCAAUAGACACCUGGGGACAUGAUUCAGUCUGAACUAUAAUUGAAUCCCUGACAUUAUAAGGAACUUGAAUGAAAAGGAUGCCCCAGAGCUGAGGAGAAAAUCUUCCUACAAAGCAAACCUCACAACCUCACAGCGUAUUCUACCUGGGCCUGACCCACACAGUAACCAGAAGCUUCCUGGGCCCAGCAGUUUCAACCAAGUAUUUCAGGAACCCGGGCUCACCCUUGGCAGUGACAAGCCUCGGGAAAUUUCAGUCAUCAAGUGUCUCUGAUCCCCAGAUUCUUACAAGGGAACUUUGCAAAGCUUGUAGUCUCUCCUUCCUAAUUUAAUUUAAACUGCACUUGUGAUAAAGAGAAAUAGACGCCAAGCACGGUGUCUCAC